CUCGCGUCACGUGAUGAUCCCGGAGACUCUAAUAUGGCGGCGUCCAUGACCCCGCCGCCUGCGCCAGUUGAGGGGAUGGUGAAAUUGAGCCACAAAAGGUAUAGAGCACUUUUGAAGAAAGAGAAGCGGAAGAAAAGGAGACAAUCUCUAGCAAGACUGAGAGAUUCAG